UGGGGGAUAUUGCACAAUGGGGGAAACCCUGAUGCAGCAACGCCGCGUGAGGGAAGACGGUUUUCGGAUUGUAAACCUUUGUCUUUGGUGAAGAAGAAAGUGACGGUAGCCAAGGAGGAAGCCCCGGCUAACUACGUGCCAGCAGCCGCGGUAAUACGUAGGGGGCGAGCGUUGUCCGGAAUGAUUGGGCGUAAAGGGCGCGUAGGCGGCUUGGUAAGUCCGGAGUGAAAGUCCUGCUUUUAAGGUGGGAAUUGCUUUGGAUACUGCUGGGCUUGAGUGCAGGAGAGGAAAGCGGAAUUACCGGUGUAGCGGUGAAAUGCGUAGAGAUCGGUAGGAACACCAGUGGCGAAGGCGGCUUUCUGGACUGAAACUGACGCUGAGGCGCGAAAGCGUGGGGAGCAAACAGGAUUAGAUACCCUGGUAGU
rnacentral:rRNA from 1 species